CCUACGGGAGGCAGCAGUAGGGAAUAUUGGGCAAUGGAGGCAACUCUGACCCAGCCAUGCCGCGUGAACGAAGAAGGCGCUAUGCGUCGUAAAGUUCUUUUAGAGGGGGCGAAAACACUUGAUUUAUCAAGUACUGACGGUACCUUCGGAAUAAGCACCGGCUAACUCUGUGCCAGCAGCCGCGGUAAUACAGAGGGUGCAAGCGUUAUCCGGAAUCACUGGGUUUAAAGGGUGCGUAGGCGGGAUUAUAAGUCAGAGGUGAAAUCUCGUCGCUUAACGACGGAAUUGCCUUUGAUACUGUUUUUCUUGAAAUUUGUUGAGGUUGGCGGAAUGAGACAUGUAGCGGUGAAAUGCUUAGAUAUGUCUUAGAACACCGAUUGCGAAGGCAGCUGACUGGACAAUAUUUGACGCUGAGGCACGAAAGCGUGGGGAUCAAACAGGAUUAGAUACCCUGGUAGUCCACGCCCUAAACGAUGUUUACUGCUGUUUGUCUUUCGGGAUGUGUGNGAGAGAAGAGAGAGUAACCGACCGUAGGGAGGUACGCCGCGAGGUAAGGUAACGUACGUUAAGUUAGUAGUUAGUUAGGCGNGNGAGNGCGACGGACGACGACGAGGGAGGAGG
rnacentral:rRNA from 1 species